GUUGCGGGUUACUUUUCUGAAGCCUCCAUCGCAGCUGGUCGUAGCUGUAGAAGCCUCCUCUGAGCCAUUCUGCUUACGUUUUAUGACACGGCUUACGUGGAAGUGUGGGCCUGAGUUUUGCGCCAAGUUACGUGAACUGAAGUGCUGCUGCUUUGCUGUGCUGCUUUGCUUUGCUGUGCUUAUACCGUCUGUUCCCGUUGCGAGAUUUCUUUCCCUGCUGCUGCCAGCUUUUACAGUGGACGGCGGCGUGGACAGCGGCCAUAUGCAUGCCGGUUAUCGGACUUAGCUGGCGUGCAUAUUGAUUGACCGUUAACUUGUAGUCGUGUAGACGGCAAGUUGGAGCAAUACGGCGAUUCCGUUUGCUCCAGAUUUUAGAGUUUUAUCCAGAUUGUAUGUUGUUUUACUGUAUUUGAUUUGUAGUUUGGAUUUUUGUUACGCCACUGGUGGGAGGCCCUUUUUCUAGCUGUAGAUCACCAGUGUGGUCCUGCAGUUGGGUUAUCCCCCAGCGCUGCAUAUUAGUUUUGUUGCAAUAUAUUAAAAUUUUCUUUGUUUCUUUUAUUCAGAUGCGGAGCGCCGACGUGGAGGAGACUAGGGUGCCUUGGUGGUGGGAGCCUUUGAGUGUACACACCUGCCUUGUUUAGUUUAUUAGUGUGAGUGUGUGCUGCACUGUCUUGGUGUAUUUUCUUCUUUUUUUGAGUUUGUGUGUGGCAUCCCUGCCCUCCACUGGUAAGCCUCAGCUCUGAAUACCUUUUUUUGCAUACUUUUACACUGAUAUUUAUCACCGUGCUUUUAAAUGUUGUUUUAAUUAAUAAAUUGUCAAUUUAUUUUAUCAUUGAACCUCGUCUCUGUAUUGAGUAUAACAAACCUAACUGCCUUCGUAGUGAUUAGUGUUACCUCCAGUAUUCUCUGGGUGAAAUUCCCAGGGUGGCGUUGUCUUUUUAAAACUGUGAAGAGUAAUUACUUUAUUUCCACCUCGUGCUGCCACACCAGCACAGGACCACCUGUGUGUCUGCAGCUGGCCUAUAUGUGGGCCCAGUGUGGGCCACCAAAGGGCUGUCAUCCUUUGCGAUAUGUGGGCCAUGUGUAAUCACAUUGUGUGGGCCAGAUCCAGGCAAUACCAAUUUUGCCACCCCCCGAGUAAACACCAUAAGAACGAAAAAUCACCUGCCCGGCGGCCAGUCCAGCUGUGGACUGAAAGAUUUUCGGAUCUUCAAGUGAACAUUGACGGAUCUGCAGGUUUUCUCAGACAAAGAUUCACUUGCAGUCGACUCAGCAGUGAGAACUGAAGACAUCAGUUAUGGACAAACAGCCAUCAGAACAUCAAAAACCAGACUUUAAACAAGAGCCAGACAUCAUCUACUCUUCACUGAAGUAGUACACCAGUCCAACCACUGAUGUCCAGCUGCUGGUCUCUAACUGGUCCCCCCAGCACCUCAGACCAGAGGACAUCAACAUUUUGUGUAUUUUCUUAUCUUAGGGAGAUCAUUCAGUGGGUGAAAAACACACAGUUAAACUGAAGUACAUGACGUGUAUCCGCUUUCACACCUUGGCUCAUGUGAUUAGAGGAUCACCAGGGGGUCCUUUGUCCCUCUUCAAAUCAAAUCAAAUCAAAUCACUUUUAUUGUCACAUCACAUGUGCAGGUACACUGGUACAGUACAUGUGAGUGAAAUUCUUGUGUGCGAGCUUCACAAGCAACAGAGUUGUG